rnacentral:rRNA from 1 species
UACGGAGGGGGCUAGCGUUGUUCGGAAUUACUGGGCGUAAAGCGCGCGUAGGCGGACCUGCAAGUCGGGGGUGAAAGCCCGAGGCUCAACCUCGGAACUGCAUUCGAUACUGCCGUGCUUGAGGACUGGAGAGGAGACUGGAAUUUACGGUGUAGCGGUGAAAUGCGUAGAUAUCGUAAGGAAGACCAGUGGCGAAGGCGGGUCUCUGGACAGUUCCUGACGCUGAGGCACGAAGGCCAGGGGAGCAAACGGG